rnacentral:rRNA from 1 species
GGUUGCUAAGACUGGAUAGGAAACAAAAAGGCAUCUUUUUGUUUUAAAAGACCUUCUUAUGAAGGUAUGCUUAAAGAGGGGCUUGCGCCACAUUAGUUAGUUGGUAGGGUAAAAGCCUACCAAGACGAUGAUGUGUAGCUGGACUGAGAGGUUGAACAGCCACAUUGGGACUGAGACACGGCCCAAACUCCUACGGGAGGCAGCAGUAGGGAAUUUUCGGCAAUGGAGGAAACUCUGACCGAGCAACGCCGCGUGAACGAUGAAGUAUUUCGGUAUGUAAAGUUCUUUUAUUGAAGAAGAAAAAGUAGUGGAAAAACUAUAUUGACGUUAUUCAAUGAAUAAGCCCCGGCUAACUAUGUGCCAGCAGCCGCGGUAAGACAUAGGGGGCGAGCGUUAUCCGGAAUUAUUGGGCGUAAAGGGUGCGUAGGCUGUUAGAUAAGUCUAUAAUUUAAUUUCAGUGCUUAACGCUGUCUUGUUAUAGAAACUGUCUUGACUAGAGUGAGAUAGAGGCAAGCGGAAUUCCAUGUGUAGCGGUAAAAUGUGUAAAUAUAUGGAGGAACACCAGAAGCGUAGGCGGCUUGCUGGGUCUUUACUGACGCUGAGGCACGAAAGCGUGGGUAGCAAACAGGAUUAGAUACCCUGGUAGUCCACGCCGUAAACGAUGAGUACUAAGUGUCGGGGUAAAACUCGGUACUGAAGUUAACACAUUAAGUACUCCGCCUGAGUAGUACGUACGCAAGUAUGAAACUUAAAGGAAUUGACGGGACUCCGCACAAGCGGUGGAUCAUGUUGUUUAAUUCGAAGAUACACGAAAAAUCUUACCAGGUCUUGACAUACUCUGCAAAGCUAUAGAAAUAUAGUGGAGGUUAUCAGGGAUACAGGUGGUGCAUGGUUGUCGUCAGUUCGUGUCGUGAGAUGUUAGGUUAAGUCCUAAAACGAGCGCAACCCUUGUCGUUAAUUGCCAGCACGUAAUGGUGGGGACUUUAGCGAGACUGCCAAUUAAACAUUGGAGGAAGGUGAGGAUUACGUCAAAUCAUCAUGCCCCUUAUGAUCUGGGCUACAAACGUGAUACAAUGGCUGUGACAAAGAGUAGCUGAAACGCGAGUUUUUAGCCAAUCUCAAAAAAGCAGUCUCAGUUCGGAUUGAAGUCUGUAACUCGACUUCAUGAAGUUGGAAUCGCUAGUAAUCGCGAAUCAGCAUGUCGCGGUGAAUACGUUCUCGGGGUUUGUACACACCGCCCGUC